CGGGGCGAUGGAAGGAACAGAGGCGUAGCCCGGCUGAGGGCCGGCGCGGGCUCAGCCUUCAAGAGCCGCGGGAGGGGACGACCGCUGAACGCGUUAGGAGGCCGUUGCUUCUCCGAGUGGCUCUCUUUUGGGUUCGGUCGGGUGUCGGCAUGGCCCGCGGAAAUCAGCGAGAACUUGCCCGCCAGAAAAACAUGAAGAAAUCCCAGGAAAUUAGCAAGGGAAAAAGAAAAGAGGAUAGCUUGACUACCUCUCAGAGAAAACAGAGGGACUCUGAGAUAAUGCAACAAAAGCAGAAGGCAGCUAAUGAGAAGAAGUCUAUGCAGACGAGAGAAAAAUGAUGACUAUUUGGAAAACCUGGGUGCUACUGCCAACAAGGUGUAUCAUAAGCUCUGAUGAAAGUUUUGUGGAGUAAGCAGUCCUAUGUUACAACAUGUCCUUACAAAACUAUUUAAACUUUACCUCUCAGCCUAACUUAGUGUGAUGUUUCAGAACCAUUCUUCAAAGAAUAAAACAAAAGCUAUGCAUGA